AAAACAGGAGAAUAAAAGCUACAGUGUAGUGCAAGAUAAGAAUAAACAAACAAGUUUUAUUUAUUAAAAGACAGCAACAAACAGAAAAGUCUUCAGCCUUGUUUUAAAAGAACUGAGAGUUGCAGCAAGCCUUGUGUUUUCUGGGAGUUUGUUUAAGAUAUGUAGUGCAUAAUAACUGAAUGCUGCUUCUCCAUGUUUAGUUUGUUUUCAGGUUAACAUAGAAUCUGAGAAACCUGGUUAUUCAUCUCCCUGUUUACAUGAUUCUAACAGUGUCCAGGUUUCUGAUUGUCUGUGUCUAGAUGUGCCCUGAUUCCUCAACCUGUCAGCCUCUCAUUUCUCUGCCAACAGAGAUUGUUCAGAAACCUGGAUAAUGUCUUUACAUGCCACAGUAUCCUGGUUUAUGCUGGGGUACUACAGACAGCAUAUCCAGGUUUUUGAAACCAGGAUAAGGUGUUUAAAUUAUAUUUAUAAACACAUAAGCAGGAUAUUCCAAAAACCUGAUCCUAACCUGAAUACUGGUGCACAUGUUAACACACUCUAUUGUUUGUAUAUGUUUGCUUACAUGAUAAUGGUCACAUUCAUUCAUCUCCAUUUAACAUUACACUGUCCAGUACACUGUGAUGCAAGGUUGGGUUACCAACCAGCCAAAGCAAGCAACUGCUCCAGGAUCCCAGACACCCAGGGGGCCUCAAAAGUCUUCCAAAGUCCCAAAGUCACCUCAUAUCAGUUGUUUUUUGGUAAUUAAAUUAACUGCAAAUUAAUCAGGGAAUUUGCACCACUAAAGCACAAUAUCAACUCAGGCGGGUCCUGCAGUCAUAGCUAAUUUUGACGCUCUUUCUUGAGGGGCUCUGUGUGAAAAUAUGGUUUUGGGAGCUGUAUUAUUUUAGUUCAUCGUGUGCUCACAUGGCAAACACAUUCCUAAAUUAAGUUGUUUUCAUAAAACUAGUUUAUCCCUGGGUGUCUGAGAAUAUUAUAUAGCAUAUAUGGUGUUUUCACUGCUCUUGACAACUUAAAAGUUGAGUGCUUUCUCUCUUUUUACAAAGAAACAACAAUUUCAUAAGCACUUAAGUCUUACUUUACUUCAUGGUCCUGUAACCUUAUUGCAUUUUUGUCAGGUGGAAUUUGAAACUGAGUACUGUGGCACUUCAUUUUAUUGGGUAAUUUUAGUUCCUAUACCUGCUGUUGUACGAUGGACUGUUGUGAGUGUAUCUGGGAAGUUUGAUGGUGGCUUGACUACACUACACCUCAAGAAUUUAAAGGCAGG